UUAAGUCCCGUAACGAGCGCAACCCUUGUCCUUAGUUACCAGCACGUUAUGGUGGGCACUCUAAGGAGGACUGCCGGUGACAAACCGGAGGAAGGUGGGGAUGACGUCAAGUCAUCAUGGCCCUUACGGCCUGGGCUACACACGUGCUACAAUGGUCGGUACAAAGGGUUGCCAAGCCGCGAGGUGGAGCUAAUCCCAUAAACCGAUCGUAGUCCGGAUCGCAGUCUGCAACUCGACUGCGUGAAGUCGGAAUCGCUAGUAAUCGUGAAUCAGAAUGUCACGGUGAAUACGUUCCCGGGCCUU
rnacentral:rRNA from 1 species